rnacentral:rRNA from 1 species
UAAGAGAGUUUGAUCCUGGCUCAGAAUGAACGUUAAUAGUUGACUUAACACAUGCAAGUUAAACGAAUUUUUUCAAUUAUAAAUUAGUAGCGAACGGGUGAGUAAUAUAUAGAAAUUAACCUUAAGAUUUAGUUGAAUACUUAAAAUUUAUUUGUUUUAAGAAUAGUCUAUAAUAGGAUUAAGUAGUUGGUUAUUUAAAAGAUUACCAAGCUUAUGAUCCUUAGCUGAUCUUUGAGGAUGAACAGCCACAUUGGAAUUGAGAUAAGGUCCAAACUUUAUAUUUAAGGCAGCAGUGAGGAAUAUUGAGCAAUGAGCAAAAGCUUGACUCAGUUAAACUAUAUGUGUGAGGAAGGCAAUGUAUCGUAAAGCACUAAAACUUAUAACUAAUAAUGAUUAAAUGAGUAACAAUCCUGGCUAAUUUCGUGCCAGCAGCCGCGGUAAAACGGGAAGGGUUAACGUUAUUCGGAUUUAUUGGGCGUAAAGCAUAUUUAGGUGGAAAACUUUAUUACUUAUUUGAAUCUUAGAUUUAUUCUCUGAAUUUUUUCCAAUCAAAGUUUUCUGGAGUUUAAUUGAAGGUUAUGGAACUUUAAGUGUAACGGUAAAAUGUUUUAAUAUUUAAAAGAACUUCGAUAGCGCAAGCAAUAACCUAAAUUAAUACUGACACUACAAUAUUAAAGUGUGGGUAGCGAAAGGGAUUAGAUACCCCUGUAGUCCACACCCUGAACGAUGAGUGCUUAUUAUUGAAUUCUUUUCAUUAAUUUAGCUAACGCCUUAAGCACUUCGCCUGGGGACUACGAUUGCAAAAUUAAAACCCAAAGGAAUUGACGGGAACCUACACAAGCAGUGGAGCAUGUGGUUUAAAUCGAUAAUACGCGCGAAAUCUUACCAACUUUUGCAUAAUUUAAUUACAGGUGUUGCAUGGCUGUCGUCAGUCCGUGUCUUAAGACGUUUGGUUUAUUCCAAUAAACGGACAAAACUUUUAUGCAUUUUGGAAUGCAAACUAUCAAAGAUAUUUUGGAGGAAGUUGAAAAUGACGUCAAGUCUUCAUGACCCUUAUAAGUUGGGCUACUCUCAUGUGCUACGAUAGUUCUUUUAACAAGAAGCAAAGAAGUAAAUCUGAGCAAACCUUAAAUUGGAACUUUAGUCGGAUUAUUUUCUGAAACUCGAAAAUAUGAAGUUGGAAUUGCUAGUAAUCGUGAAUAAGAACGUUGCGGUGAAUAGAUUCUUAGGUUUUGUACACACCGCCCGUCACGCUAUGGAAAUUCUUAUUACUAGAAGCUUAUUAAUAUAUAAUUUAAGGUAAUAGAAAAACUGAAGUGAAGUCGUAACAAGGUAGCCGUAGGGGAACCUGCUGCUGGACAAAAAU